rnacentral:lncRNA from 1 species
UAGGAACUUAAUCAUAUCAAGAACAACUUCAUACUCAGUGAAUAUAAGGACCUAAGAAUCCUAAAAGGCCAACUUUUCACAAAUAAGUCCGAGAACGCACUCGUCACCUCGCGUGCCUCGACUACAAAUCAACAUAGAAGACUCAAAUCCUAAGGGAAAAAUCCCCCACAUAAGGUUAUGCCAGAUACUUACCUCGAACCAAGCUCAAACAAUCCGUAAGAAUGUCCUUUCCUCAAUUAUCCGACUCCAAAUGGCCCAAAUCUAGCCAAACACAAUUGCAUAACAUGAAUACAACAAUAAUAAACUUAUCUAAUCAAUGAAUUUAAUAUUUAAUAAAAAUUCAGAAAUUCGCCCUAAAAAGUCGACCCGGGCCCACGUCUCGGAAUCGGGUAAAAGUCAUAAAAUACGAACACCCAUUCACUCGCGAGUUCACACGUACUAAAAUUAUCCAAAUCCGAUAUCUAAAUCCCAAUCAAAACUCAAAACUCUUAGUUGAAGAACUUCUUCCCAUUUUUCCUAAAUUUUCAAUCCAAACCCGAAACUAAAUAGAGAAUACAACUAUGGAUUAAUGGAAAACAACCAAAAACGAGUUAGGAAUCAUUAUCCCAAAGUUUCCUCGGAAAAACCCUCGAAAAAUUGCCAAAUUUCGAGCUCUCAAGUCCAAAAACGAAGAAUGAAACCAAAUCCUCGAAUUUCUCCUUUCUGCCCAGGCGUGACCGCACCUGCGCAUAAAUAGCCGCAUCUGCGCGACCGCAAGUGCGCAUGUCCAACCGCACCUGCGCUUUCUCUCGCUUCUGCGCACCAAAAAUCCGCUUCUGCGGAGCCGCUGAUGCGCACAAUUUCUCCGCACCUGCGGAGACUGUCAAGUCCAGCUCUUCUCGCACCUGCGCCUCAAUCUUCGCAUUUGCGGGCAUCGCAGAUGCGGAAUUUUCCUCGCACCUGCGACCCUUGGCACUCCUCCAUUUUUUUGCUUUUGCGCUUGCCUCUCUGCACGUGCGCUCUCGCACCUGCAGUCUCUUCUUCGCAGGUGCGAAAAUACCAGAAGCCUGAACACUUAGCAGUAACUCAAAUCAAACUUUUAAUCCGUUAAGCAUCCGAAACUCACCCGAGGCCCCUGGGACCUCAACCAAACAUACCAACCAAUUCUAGUAUACCAUACGAACUUAGUCGAGCCUUAAAGUCAUAUCAAACAACAUCGAAACCACGAAUCGCACCAUGAGUCGAACUUAUAAAUUUCAAAUUUUUCAACUUCUAAAACUCGUGCCGAAACCUAUCAAAUCAAUCCAGAAUGACGUCAAAAUUUUCAGGCAAGUCCCAAAUAACAUAACGGAGCUAUUCCAACUCUCCGAAUCUCAUUCCAACCCCGAUAUCAAAAAGUCCACUUCCGGUCCAAAUCUCCAAAAAUUCGACUUUCGCCAUUUCAAGCCUAAAUCAGCUACAGACCAUAGAUUUAUAGUCCGGACACGCUCCUAAAUCCAAAAUCACCUAACGGAGCUAAUGGAACUGACGAAACUCCAUUCCGAAGUCAUCUUUACAUAGUUCCGACUACGGUCAAAAUUUUAAGACUGAAGCUUCCGUUUUAGGGACUAAGUAUCCCAAAUCACUCUAAAUCAUUCGGUAACUGAAUUCAACCACGCACGCAAGUCAAUACACAUAAUAUAAAGCUUCUCAAGGUCUUAUGCCACCGGACGGGACUUAAAUUCUUAAAAUGACCGGCCGUAUCGUUACAAUAUUGUACUGAUUCCUAAGGUGGAUAGGCCUGAAUAUGCUAACCAGUACAGGCCUAUUUCAUGGUGUAAUGUAUUGUACAAAUGCAUAUCUAAGAUGAUAUUAAAUAGAUUGAAGCAAGCCAUAUGCCACACUGUAGCUGACAAUCAAGUUGCAUUUGUUCAAGGAAGAUCUAUGAUGCAUAAUGUACUUAUUUGUCAUGAUCUUUUGAGACACUAUGGUAGAAAGAUAUCUGCAAGGUGCCUUAUGAAAAUUGAUCUCAGGAAGGCAUAUGAUAUGGUGGACUGAGGAUUUCUUGAAGAGGUUCUGAUUGGUUUUGGGUUCCCAAAGAGAUUCAUUCACUAGAUCAUGAUAUGUGUAACAACUACCAAAUUUUCAAUAAAAGUGAAUGGUGAAGGACAUGGAUAUUUUGAAGGGAGAAGGCGAUUAAGGCAAGGAGAUCCUAUGUCUCCUCUUCUAUUUGUGUUAGUAAUGGAAUAUCUGUCCAGAGUACUAUCAACUAUGAGUGAACUCCCAGAUUUUCAAUUCCAUCCCAUGUGCAAGCAACUAAAGUUAACUCACUUGAUCUUUGCUGAUGAUCUUGUGAUCUUCUGCAAAGGUAAUCUGGCUUCAGUUAAUAGGGUGGUGGAAGCUUUGAAUCACUUUAGUGAGGUAUCUCAUUUGGUUGCUAAUCAAGAGAAAUCCCGUAUCUUCAUAGCUGGGGUGGAUGAAUUGACAAAGGAUCAAUUAUUAGUAAAAACAGGCUUUACUCGAGGUUCGUUCCCAAUCAGAUAUCUUGGACUCCCCCUUUCAUCCAAGAAAUGGAACAAAUUGGAUUGUUGUCAGCUGGUAGACAGAAUAACCAGUAGAAUCAAAACUGGAUAAUCAAAGUAGUUGUUUUAUACAGGCAAACUGCAGGUGGUAAACUCUGUGUUGUUCUCCAUCUAUAACUUCUGGAGUUCUGUAUUCAUCUUACCUUAGGCUGUGAUAAAAAAAGUUGAUAGCAUAUGCAGGGACUAUCUGUGGAGAAGCACUGAAGACAGAAGGAAACUGGCCUUAGUGGCAUGGGAAAGAAUAUGUCUUCCUAGGAAAUUUAGCGGGUUGAAUGUUAAAGGAAGUAAAAUAUAGAAUGUAGCAUCGGUAGGGAAAUUAUUAUGGCAGAUAAUCAAUAAUAAAGAAAAUCUAUGGGUGAAGUGGGUGCAUGGAUUGUAUAUGAAAACAGAUACAAGCAUUUGGCAUCAUAAGGUACCAACUGAUUAUAGUUAGUAUUGGAAGAAGAUUAAUUCUCUAAAGGAGGAUAUAAAAAGAUGGUAUGAACAAGGAGUGUACAAAUUGGGAAGGGGUAGUGGAUACUCAAUAACUAAGAGCUAUAUUGCACUGCUAGGGGAAAUGUAAAGACUGCAUACAACAGAUUUGAUAUAGAGAAGUGUAGCACAACCAAAGCAUAGGUUUUUUAUGUGGUUGGGAGCUCAAAGGAGACUACUAACAAAGGAAAGGAUGAUGAAGUUGCAGAUUCAUGUGGAUAAUGUGGAAUGCUGUUUAUGUGAUGAGCAUAAAACUGAAACAAGUCAGCACUUAUUUGUAGAAUGCAACUAGAUAAGCAAGGUACGUGCUGAAGUGCUGAGAUGGCUUGGUGUACAAUUGCAAGAAGGAGACAUAGCGAGCACAAUAAACAACAUCAAAAAGAAAAAGUGGAAACAGCUAAAGAAAGAAGUGGUUGCAGCAACAAUGGGAGU